GACCGCUCACCUGCAGCGCGGUCCGCUGAUGCUCGGCCCCCCGGGGCGCUGCGGGGCGCGGCCAACCGCGCAGCCCGGGGCUUCUGAACCGCAAUGCCAGGCGUGCCAGGCGCACCGAACCGCACUGCACCGCACGUCGCUACUUGCGCCCCUCUGGUCGGUGUCACCAGGGAGGGCGGAGGGCGGCUUACCCACGGGAGUUUACCCAAGACGGCACCAAUGGCAGACUGGCGUAGUUUGGUGAAAUGGCCAGCCCGGUGUGCAAAGGGCCUGUCUACCCUGAGAGCAGACACCAGAAGACUUCGGUGUGCAGGGUGCCCCCAGGACAGCCAACCCCUAGUGUGUGGCUGCACCUGUUACACUCCACCUUUUCACACACCCACAACUGCAUCUGUUUCCACUUGUUUCCCAGCUGAUAGCCGGUCUACCUGAGAUGAGAUCCAGUCUCUCAAGGUUCCUGCCCUGACUCUGCUCAGUGAUGAACAGUGUCAUGGAGGUGUAAGAUUAAAUAAAGCCCCUCCUUCCCAAGCUGGCUUCGGUCAGUGUUUUAUCACAGCAACAGAAAGCCAACCCAGGACACACUAGAAUCUUUGACAUCAGACCUGACACUCGGGAGCCAGCCAGGGGCUGGCGCUGUACACAGCAGGGAAGUCUUCCCCCCUCAGUCAAUACAACCAAGACAGAGUCCCACAAGAAUACCCAGAGCCCCUCCUCUUGGGCGAUUCUAGAUGCUGGCAAGUUGACAGUCGACACUCUCCAUCACAGAGGACUUUAGCCACAGCUUGGACUUCCUGACAGUUUCAGAAAGAGAAAAGGGGUCCAUGUAGGAAAUUGUAUCAGAGAGAAAGAAACAGACAAACUCUUGGUCCUGAAGGGCAGAAGAUGGAUUCUCUUGGAGCUUGCCCUGCUGCCUAACUUCAAACAACUUCUGAAAUUAGAGUUUUCAAAACACCC
rnacentral:lncRNA from 1 species